CAGCGCUCCUGUCCUUUUCCCGCCCUCACCUCCUCUCUCGGCUUUUUCCGCCAGCAUUGCGCUUUGUGUCCCUCGUUGUUGAAACGGAAUCAAGGAAAUACCGGACACAAUCACUGCCAGCUCUAGCCUGAAAAACGUAGCCCCGGGAGAUCUGCGCACUGCAGUUUCCGGCCGGGACAUCCAUCGCGCGUGCAAGGCGCACAGACAGUUCUGAGCGCACGUACUAGAUCGCGGCUCUUAAGCCGGUCAGUCCAUCCUCG
rnacentral:lncRNA from 1 species